UACAGAGGUGGCAAGCGUUGUUCGGAAUUACUGGGCGUAAAGGGCGCGUAGGCGGUCUUGUAAGUCUUGUGUGAAAUCCCUCGGCUCAACUGAGGAACUGCACGGGAUACUGCGAGACUUGAGUUCGGGAGAGGGAAGCGGAAUUCCGGGUGUAGCGGUGAAAUGCGUAGAUAUCCGGAGGAACACCGGUGGCGAAGGCGGCUUCUGGACGACAACUGACGCUGAGACGCGAAAGCGUGGGGAGCGAACAGG
rnacentral:rRNA from 1 species